rnacentral:rRNA from 1 species
GACGAAGGUGGCAAGCGUUGCUCGGAAUCACUGGGCAUAAAGCGCGCGUAGGUGGCUUGAUAAGUCGGUGGUGAAAUCCCAUGGCUCAACCCUGAAACUGCACUUGAUACUGCUCUGCUUGAGGACUGGAGAGGAGACUGGAAUUCACGGUGUAGCAGUGAAAUGCGUAGAUAUCGUGAGGAAGACCAGUGGCGAAGGCGGGGUCUCUGGACAGUUCCGUGACGCUGAC